UAUUUUUCUGUCCAUCAAAAAAAAACAGAAAUAAAUUAUUUGUUGCCUUUAAACUUUUAAAAUUUAUUUAUUGUUUUCGGCUUUUUUGGCAAUUUAGUUGUUUCGCUUAAAAGAUUCAGACAGUCCUGAGUGUGACAUCGACAAUAUGAAAUAAUAAUAAUUAGAUUUACUCACGCAUUCUUUAUAUUUAAUAUUUAAUCAUCUCUCAAAGAACUGCUGCAAGCAUCACUGUCUUCGUUGGAAUACCUAUUCAAAAGAUUUAGACGACAAUGAAUUCUGAAUUCCGUAAAAAGAAAAUCAAUUUUUUUUUUCUAAAAAUACAUGUAUGUGAACAUGUGUGUUUCACUGUGAAUCGUAUUUAAAUAUAUUUAAAAAAUGAAUAUAUUAUCACUUAAUCCAUGUAAAUAUUGUUUUGUCGCCUGAGUGUCUCUCGGCAACAGCCAACAUUCGACUACGGCAGCGCACCGUAAUGAAUUUCGCAACGUACUUCCAAUAUCUUUCAUCCUUUGUGGCAAAGGGUUCCAAGGGCGAACAGCAAAAACAAAGAACCGACGCUCUGAUGCACGGAAACUGUAUUUCAUGCUAAAAAAAAUCACUCAGCAUUUACGGAAGGUCCCAUUAUCUUUGGAUGAAUAAGCUAACCAAGCGUAUUUCUGCAACCAAGCUCAUUGGAAUUUUAAAUUUCGUGGUCCGGAUGAAGGAGACUUGAAGGUAUCGCAAAAAAUCCAGAUCUUGCUUUGAAGGCCAACAAUUGAGUCUAUGUUAUCAGCAGUUAAUUCAAUGACAAUAGAUUCAGUGUAAUAUUUAUGAAUGGGUACUGUAGAGAUCGACGCAGAACUCACUGUAACUUCACGAGGAGCCUCCAACUAAAUUGAUAAUGAUGAGAAAAAUAAAUAGUUAUCGGAAGCGCA